GCAAUGCUCCGAGCGAUUCGGAGUGUCCUUUCAGAUGUGCUCCAUCGUAUUUGCUCGUGGCAUAUCGAGAAAAAUAUGCAGAGGCACCUACAUUACAAGUCACUAGAUGAGUUUAGAUCGCUCCUGUACUAUGCCACCUCUGAAGAGAACUUUGAGGAGAGAUGGACCGCCUUUGUCAAUAAAUGGAAGACGGAUAAAACUGAAGAGUGGCUGAGGAGGAUGUAUAGGAAGAGGAGACUGUGGGCAGCAUCAUAUCUUUCGAAUGGCUUUUUUCUUGGUAUGCGUAGUAACCAGAGGAGCGAAAGCCUCAACUCCUCCCUUCACCUUCACCUUGACUAUGGUAUGACCAUAGUUGAUUUGGUAGUGCAUUAUGAGAACUGCAUAGUUCGCCUCCGUGAGAACGAGGCGAAUGAUGACUGUGAGGCCAAUCAGAAAGUACCACCGGCGGUUACUGAAUAUAAGGACAUUGAGGAGCAUGCUGCCAAAGUAUUCACUCCUGCUAAUUUCUACAUUCUGCAAAAUGAUUUGAAGAAGAUGGGAGAACUGGAGAUAUUUGAGACGCUGGUGGGAAUUGAGCGCCAGACCUUU
rnacentral:rRNA from 1 species